GCGCAGCAGUCGAGAAUUUUUCACAAUGGGGGAAACCCUGAUGGAGCGACGCCGCGUGGAGGAUGAAGGCCCUCGGGUCGUAAACUCCUGUCAUGCGGGAACAAGAAAGUGAUAGUACCGCAAGAGGAAGAGACGGCUAACUCUGUGCCAGCAGCCGCGGUAAUACAGAGGUCUCAAGCGUUAUUCGGAUUCAUUGGGCGUAAAGGGUGCGUAGGUGGCGAUGUAAGUCUGGUGUGAAAUCUCGGGGCUUAACCCCGAAACUGCAUUGGAUACUGCGUUGCUUGAGGAUUGUAGAGGAGAGUGGAAUUCACGGUGUAGCAGUGAAAUGCGUAGAUAUCGUGAGGAAGACCAGUUGCGAAGGCGACUCUCUGGGCAAUUCCUGACACUGAGGCACGAAGGCCAGGGGAGCAAACGGGAUUAGAUACCCCUGUAGU
rnacentral:rRNA from 1 species